GAGGUCAUGAAAAGCUUGUUGCCAUCAGAUCGGCCAAACGGUAAAAGUCCGUCGAGUAAACAGCUAGGAAAUCGGGAUUUAGAUGCAUUUUAAGACACUGAAAAUCACGCACGUAUUCCCUUUAUGCGCGCGUGACAAAUUGCCCACAAACACGCAGGUAUAUUUACGUGUCGGCGAUAGCGCCGCAGUCUUGACUGGCACGCGCACCCGCAGUGGGGUUCAAACCAUACCCUGUUGUUACAUAACUUGGCGAGUGCUGCUUGGGCGCGCUCACGCACGCACAUCGGGGCUCUGGGAUCAUUCUUGCCGAGAGCGGUUGGAAACUCUUCCACUCUGGAGUUGCCCAUGCACUACAAAAGUCUUUGGGCCCAAGACGUCAAAGGAAGCAUUUGUGUUCCCGGCAGAUGAGGGAGGACAAAGUGUGACAUGGUGUCAUCCUGCUCUAAACACUCACACAAAGAGUUUCAAUAUGUCCCAAAAGGUUCCCACGUACUGCAACAAUAGGACGUUCCAGGACAUGGUGACCCCUCCCACUACUCCAACCCCCGUGGCAAGAACAUGUGGUUCCAUACAUGAAGGAAGUGAGGUGGCGUGAGUCACGACGAGAGAAGGUGGAGGAGUGAAGAGCGAGCGCCUGACAGCUCAUCUAACAAGAUGAUCAAAUGGCCCCGCGUGAGUCACACAGCCAGCGAGCCUCCGGACUUUGAUUCAGCAGAGUCUCUUGCCCCAUUGUGAGCAGCAAUAACUCAAUUCUGGGAUUAUUCUUAUUUUCCACACGCUGGGCGCAUUCACACAUUCUGAUGUCAACAAAUGGCAAAGAUUUCAUCUGCUUCCAUUAAAUCCACUUAACGUCGCACGACACU